rnacentral:misc_RNA from 1 species
AAAUAGUUGCUUAAAUGUAUUUAAUCUUCAGGGCUCUCUAAAGAAGUUUUCCAAGCUUUAACUUUCCCUCUCUCUUUCAAUCUCCUCCAAAACAUCUUGCAGCUUCUUUCCUUCAUCAAUUGAAACAUCAGCCCACUCCAGCUCCACCUUUGUAAGGACAAUCAUAACAACCUUAAGGCCACCCUUCACAUCAAAGUCACCAAUCUCCUUCACCAAUCUCUG